UCACAUCAAGAUAGUGGUGCUUCUAAUGCGUCGUAGCGUCAGCUGCACAACCUU
rnacentral:rRNA from 1 species